rnacentral:rRNA from 1 species
UACGUAGGGCGCAAGCGUUGUCCGGAAUUACUGGGCGUAAAGAGCUCGUAGGUGGUUUGUCGCGUUGUUCGUGAAAACUCACAGCUCAACUGUGGGCGUGCGGGCGAUACGGGCAGACUAGAGUACUGCAGGGGAGACUGGAAUUCCUGGUGUAGCGGUGGAAUGCGCAGAUAUCAGGAGGAACACCGGUGGCGAAGGCGGGUCUCUGGGCAGUAACUGACGCUGAGGAGCGAAAGCGUGGGGAGCGAACAGG